rnacentral:rRNA from 1 species
UACAGAGGUCUCAAGCGUUGUUCGGAUUCAUUGGGCGUAAAGGGUGCGUAGGCGGUGGGGCAAGUCAGGUGUGAAAUCCCGGAGCUCAACUCCGGAACUGCACUUGAUACUGCUUUACUAGAGUACUGGAGAGGAGACUGGAAUUUACGGUGUAGCAGUGAAAUGCGUAGAUAUCAAGAGGAACACCAGUGGCGAAGGCGAGUCCCUGGACAACACCUGACACUGAGGCACGAAAGCUAGGGGAGCAAACAGG